rnacentral:rRNA from 1 species
CAGCAGUGUGGAAUUUUGGACAAUGGGCGAAAGCCUGAUCCAGCCAUGCCGCGUACAGGAUGAAGGCCUUUCGGGUUGUAAACUGCUUUUGUACGGAACGAAAAGACUCUGGUUAAUACCUGGGGUCCAUGACGGUACCGUAAGAAUAAGCACCGGCUAACUACGUGCCAGCAGCCGCGGUAAUACGUAGGGUGCAAGCGUUAAUCGGAAUUACUGGGCGUAAAGCGUGCGCAGGCGGUUAUAUAAGACAGAUGUGAAAUCCCCGGGCUCAACCUGGGAACUGCAUUUGUGACUGUAUAGCUAGAGUACGGCAGAGGGGGAUGGAAUUCCGCGUGUAGCAGUGAAAUGCGUAGAUAUGCGNGAGNGAACACCGANUGGCGAAGGCAAUCCCCUGGGCCUGUACUGACGCUCAUGCACGAAAGCGUGGGGAGCAAANAGGAUNAGAUACCCUGGUAGUCCACGCCCUAAACGAUGUCAACUGGUUGUUGGGUCUUCACUGACUCAGUAACGAAGCUAACGCGUGAAGUUGACCGCCUGGGGAGUACGGCCGCAAGGUUNGAAACUCAAAGGAAUUGACGGGGACCCGCACAAGCGGUGGAUGAUGUGGUUUAAUUCGAUGCAACGCGAAAAACCUUACCCACCUUUGACAUGUACGGAAUCCUUUAGAGAUAGAGGAGUGCUCGAAAGAGAGCCGUAACACAGGUGCUGCAUGGCUGUCGUCAGCUCGUGUCGUGAGAUGUUGUGUUAAGUCCCGCAACGAGCGCAACCCUUGCCAUUAGUUGCUACGAAAGGGCACUCUAAUGGGACUGCCGGUGACAAACCGGAGGAAGGUGGGGAUGACGUCAAGUCCUCAUGGCCCUUAUAGGUGGGGCUACACACGUCAUACAAUGGCUGGUACAGAGGGUUUGCCAACCCGCGAGGGGGAGCUAAUCCCAUAAAGCCAGUCGUAGUCCGGAUCGCAGUCUUGCAACUCGACUGCGUGAAGUCGGAAUCGCUAGUAUCCGCGGAUCAGAAUGUCGCGGUGAAUACGUUCCCCGGGUCUCGUAA